GACGAACGCUGGCGGCGUGCUUAACACAUGCAAGUCGAACGGUGAAGGGGAGCUUGCUCCCCGGAUCAGUGGCGAACGGGUGAGUAACACGUGGGCAACCUGCCCCAGACUUCGGGAUAACGCUUCGAAAGAGGUGCUAAUACCGGAUACGAACUCCUUGGGCAUCCUGGGAGCUGGAAAGUUUUUCGGUCUGGGAUGGGCCCGCGGCCUAUCAGGCUGUUGGUGAGGCAACGGCUCACCAAGGCGACGACGGGUAGCCGGCCUGAGAGGGCGACCGGCCACACUGGGACUGAGACACGGCCCAGACUCCUACGGGAGGCAGCAGUGGGGAAUAUUGCGCAAUGGGCGAAAGCCUGACGCAGCAACGCCGCGUGAGGGAUGACGGCCUUCGGGUUGUAAACCUCUUUCAGCAGGGAAGAAGCGAAAGUGACGGUACCUGCAGAAGAAGCACCGGCUAACUACGUGCCAGCCGCCGCAGUAA
rnacentral:rRNA from 1 species